UGCAUCGGCCGGAAAUCGAAACCGGGUCGCCCGCGUGGCAGGCGAGCAUUCUACCACUGAACCACCGAUGC
rnacentral:tRNA from 1 species